rnacentral:rRNA from 1 species
GCAAGAGGAAGAGACGGCUAACUCUGUGCCAGCAGCCGCGGUAAUACAGAGGUCUCAAGCGUUGUUCGGAAUCACUGGGCGUAAAGGGUGCGUAGGUGGCGUGGUAAGUCAGAUGUGAAAGCCCAGGGCUCAACCCUGGAAUUGCAUCCGAUACUGCCAUGCUAGAGAACUGAAGGGGAGUCUGGAAUUCUCGGUGUAGCAGUGAAAUGCGUAGAUAUCGAGAGGAACACCAAUGGCGAAGGCAAGACUCUGGGCAGUUUCUGACACUGAGGCACGAAGGCUAGGGUAGCGAACGGGAUUAGAUACCCCGGUAGUCCUAGCAGUAAACGGUGCACGUUUGGUGUGGGAGGAUUCGACCCCUUCGUGCCGGAGCUAACGCGUUAAGCGUGCCGCCUGGGAAGUACGGUCGCAAGAUUAAAACUCAAAGAAAUUGACGGGG